rnacentral:rRNA from 1 species
GACGAACGCUGGCGGCGUGCUUAACACAUGCAAGUCGAACGGUGAAGCGCCUUCCUUUUUGGUGGGUGUGGAUGAGUGGCGAACGGGUGAGUAACACGUGAGUAACCUGCCCCCUUCUUCUGGAUAACCGCAUGAAAGUGUGUCUAAUACGGGAUAUCCUGGUUCUGUCGCAUGAUGGGUCUGGGAAAGAUAUUGUGUCGGUGGGGGAUGGGCUCGCGGCCGAUCAGCUUGUUGGUGGGGUGAUGGCCUACCACGGCGGUGACGGGUAGCCGGCCUGGGAGGGUGGACGGUCAGAGUGGGGCAGAGACGCGGCCGAGACUCCGACGGGGGGCAGAAGUGGGGAGUAUUGAGCAAUGGGGGAAAGCCCGAUGCGGGGGCGCGGCGGGAGGGAUGGAGGCGUUCGGGUUAUGAAGCUCUUUCGGGAGUGAAGCGGGCCUGCCUGGUUUGUAGGUGGAUUGACGGUAGCUGGUAAAGAAGCGCCGGCUAACUACGUG